AGCCACGUGGUAUAGCGGUUAGAACGCUGGCCUUGUAAUCCUGGGGUCUCGGGUUCGAUUCCCGGCGGUGCCC
rnacentral:tRNA from 1 species